AGGCCCGUAGCUCAAUUGGCAGAGCACUGGUCUCCAAAACCAGGGGUUGCACGUUCAAGUCGUGUCGGGCCUGCCA
rnacentral:tRNA from 1 species